AUACGUAGGUGGCAAGCGUUGUCCGGAAUUAUUGGGCGUAAAGCGCGCGCAGGCGGAUCUGCCAGUCUGUCUUAAAAGUUCGGGGCUUAACCCCGUGAUGGGAUGGAAACUACAGAUCUAGAGUAUCGGAGAGGAAAGUGGAAUUCCUAGUGUAGCGGUGAAAUGCGUAGAUAUUAGGAAGAACACCAGUGGCGAAGGCGACUUUCUGGACGAAAACUGACGCUGAGGCGCGAAAGCGUGGGGAUC
rnacentral:rRNA from 1 species